UUUGUCAUGAUCCUGCCUCAAGACUAGGAAAAAUCAAGGACACGAGGGCAGAAUCAUGACAGAACUGAUGACCAGGAUACACAGAUUCAGCUGACAGUGCAUCAGAGACUGUAGACUUUAUGACUGAUGGAUCAAUAUUCAGAGCAUCUCCUUCCACACAAAGAACUGCAGGAUACACAGAUCCAGCUGACAGUACAUCAGAGACUGUAGACUUUAUGACUGAUGGAUCAUUAUUCAGAGUGAUUUUGAUAAUUGUUGAGAUUGCAGUGUUUGCGGCUCCUACUGUGAUUCUCCUUCAGAGUCUCUGUACAAGAGCUGGUGAGUUUUGAACAUCAC